CCUACGGGAGGCAGCAGUAGGGAAUUUUCGGCAAUGGGGGGAACCCUGACCGAGCAACGCCGCGUGAACGAAGAAGUUAUUCGUAAUGUAAAGUUCUUUUAACAGGGAAGAAAGAGAGAUUUGACGAUACCUGCAGAAUAAGCUCCGGCUAACUACGUGCCAGCAGCCGCGGUAAUACGUAGGGAGCGAGCGUUAUCCGGAAUUAUUGGGCGUAAAGGGUGCGUAGAUGGCAUAGUAAGUCUUUUGGAAAAAUGGUGGGCUCAACCCAGUAGGGCAAAAGAUACUGCAAAGCUAGAGUAUGACAGAGGCAAGUGGAACUACAUGUGUAGCGGUAAAAUGCGUAAAUAUAUGUAAGAACACCAGUGGCGAAGGCGGCUUGCUGGGUUGAUACUGACAUUGAGGCACGAAAGCGUGGGGAGCAAACAGGAUUAGAUACCCUUGUAGUC
rnacentral:rRNA from 1 species